rnacentral:rRNA from 1 species
UACGAAGGGGGCUAGCGUUGUUCGGAUUUACUGGGCGUAAAGCGCACGUAGGCGGAUAUGUCAGUCAGGGGUGAAAUCCCGGGGCUUAACCUCGGAACUGCCUUUGAUACAGCAUAUCUUGAGUCCGAUAGAGGUGGGUGGAAUUCCUAGUGUAGAGGUGAAAUUCGUAGAUAUUAGGAAGAACACCGGUGGCGAAGGCGGCCCACUGGAUCGGUACUGACGCUGAGGUGCGAAAGCGUGGGGAGCAAACAGG